rnacentral:rRNA from 1 species
GUGGGGAAUAUUGGACAAUGGGGGGAACCCUGAUCCAGCCAUGCCGCGUGUGUGAAGAAGGCCUUUUGGUUGUAAAGCACUUUAAGCGAGGAGGAGGCUACCGAGAUUAAUACUCUUGGAUAGUGGACGUUACUCGCAGAAUAAGCACCGGCUAACUCUGUGCCAGCAGCCGCGGUAAUACAGAGGGUUCAAGCGUUAAUCGGAUUUACUGGGCGUAAAGCGCGCGUAGGUGGCCAAUUAAGUCAAAUGUGACAUCCCCGAGCUUAACUUGGGAAUUGCAUUCGAGACUGGUUGGCUAGAGUAUGGGAGAGGAUGGUAGAAUUCCAGGUGUAGCGGUGAAAUGCGUAGAGAUCUGGAGGAAUACCGAUGGCGAAGGCAGCCAUCUGGCCUAAUACUGACACUGAGGUGCGAAAGCAUGGGGAGCAAACAGGAUUAGAAACCCUAGUAGUCC